AGCGAACGCUGGCGGCAGGCCUAACACAUGCAAGUCGAACGAAGUCUUCGGACUUAGUGGCGGACGGGUGAGUAACACGUGGGAACGUGCCUUUAGGUUCGGAAUAACUCAGGGAAACUUGUGCUAAUACCGAAUGUGCCCUUCGGGGGAAAGAUUUAUCGCCUUUAGAGCGGCCCGCGUCUGAUUAGCUAGUUGGUGAGGUAAAGGCUCACCAAGGCGACGAUCAGUAGCUGGUCUGCGAGGAUGAUCAGCCACAUUGGGACUGAGAAACGGCCCAAACUCCUACGGGAGGCAGCAGUGGGGAAUCUUGCGCAAUGGGCGAAAGCCUGACGCAGCCAUGCCGCGUGAAUGAUGAAGGUCUUAGGAUUGUAAAAUUCUUUCACCGGGGACGAUAAUGACGGUACCCGGAGAAGAAGCCCCGGCUAACUUCGUGCCAGCAGCCGCAGUAAUAC
rnacentral:rRNA from 1 species